GAUGAACGCUGGCGGCGUGCCUAAUACAUGCAAGUCGAGCGAACAGACGAGGAGCUUGCUCCUCUGACGUUAGCGGCGGACGGGUGAGUAACACGUGGAUAACCUACCUAUAAGACUGGGAUAACUUCGGGAAACCGGAGCUAAUACCGGAUAAUAUAUUGAACCGCAUGGUUCAAUAGUGAAAGACGGUUUUGCUGUCACUUAUAGAUGGAUCCGCGCCGCAUUAGCUAGUUGGUAAGGUAACGGCUUACCAAGGCGACGAUGCGUAGCCGACCUGAGAGGGUGAACGGCCACACUGGAACUGAGACACGGUCCAGACUCCUACGGGAGGCAGCAGUAGGGAAUCUUCCGCAAUGGGCGAAAGCCUGACGGAGCAACGCCGCGCGAGUGAUGAAGGUCUUCGGAUCGUAAAACUCUGUUAGUAGGGAAGAACAAAUGUGUAAGUAACUAUGCACGUCUUGACGGUACCUAAUCAGAAAGCCACGGCUAACUACGUG
rnacentral:rRNA from 1 species